rnacentral:lncRNA from 1 species
AUGCGUGGGAGGGGGCUUGGGGUACUCCUGGCGUGGGGGGUGGGAAGGCAGACCCCCCACCCCGGGGCGGCGGCGAGGUGGGAGCAGGCUGCCGGCGUCGCGGCCGGUCCGGCGCUUAUUUGGCUUUUCCACCUUGGCUGGGGCUGGGGCUGGUGGGGAACGGCCUCGGGGUGGGGGGUGAGGGGGUGGGAGGGGGGCAGGGACGGGGACACGCUCUAUACGGGGAACACGUGUCUGAUGCGUGACACCCGCCUGCCUCCGCAGGCUGGCACCCGCACCGGGGCUACCGAAACACCGUGGCUAACGCAACGCCGACACACACACGCACAGCUACCGCUACACACCGACACAUCUACAAUGCUGAUGGCUGGCCGUCAGGGGGGUGCCUCGAGGGGACCCCGAGGCCGCCCGCGACGGGGCUGGGGGACACCGAGCAUCCCUGCGAAGGGCCCAGGGACGCGCCUCUCCCUGCGCCGCGGUGCCUGUCCCCGCGGCCGAGCCGGAGCCACCGGCAUCUGUGGCAGCGGGGCCGGGCCUGUCCCCCUCUCCGAGCCACCCUGGGGGGCUGCCAGAGCCCCGGGAGGGGCGAGGAGGGGGAUGCCCUUCCCCUGGUCACGGCUCCGGCCGGCCCCACGGCCACGGGCAGGCGUGGGGCAGCCUGCGACCGGAGGAACCGGCAGCCCCAAAACAGGGAGGCAGAGCCCCGGGGAGUGGGUGCCCCUCUGCCCCUGGCACCCCCACUGCCCGGGACGGGUCAGAAAGGCUCCCACACACCCGGACCCCCCCCCCCACCCCGGGAAUCGUGGCCGUGGGGGGACCUCAGAGGCUGCUUCAAGCAGCGGUCCCCGCCGAGCCCCGCACAGCUCCUCCGGGUGCUGCCAGCCCCCCGCCACGGCCACGGCCCCAAGGCCGGCAGCUGGGGGUGACCGGGGUCCCCACCGGCACCCCACACAGCACCGCCGUACCCGAGCGCAGCCCCUGCCCCACAAACGCAGCCUGCGGCGGCCGCCGAGCCGGCGCUGCAGCCACGUGCUCCCCGGCAGCGGGAGGAGGCAGCUCAUUGCAGGGAAGGAGCCAUUAGGAAAAGCAAAGAAAAACCCGGCUGGAAGAGUUGCUGUGGCAGGACCUUCCCUGCCGGGAAGCUCCUUGGCAGCGAUUUGCCGGGAUGCCCCCGCUCUUGGCGCGGUGGAACGCCGCGCCGGAGCAUCGCCCACGCCCCGCGCGCCCGCCAGCGUCGGCUCUCGCUGCCCUCGGCCCCGUUUGGGUGGUCGCUUAAGGCAGAUUUCCCGCAACAUCCCUCGCCAGCCACCCUGCCCUGCCCGCUCCCUGCCACCCCGGCAGCGUCGCUCACCGCGGCCGGGCACGCGGGGACCCGGCUCCGCCGGCCAAGGCGAGCCAGCCCAGAGCGGGUCCCGCGUGGGCACCGCGUCCAAGGCUCAAACGGGGGCUGGCUGCUUUGGGAAAGGGGUCAUCCCCACUGGGGUUCGGGGUGCCUACGGGCAGGGGCUCCCCCCGCGGCACAACCUCCUCCGCAGAACCGCCUGGCGAGAGGGACAACACAGCCUCCCGCGUCCACGUGCGGAUCACGUGCGCGCAACUUCGCUCUUCCCAAAGCGAGCGGCGGGGAGCGCGCGCCGCGGGGAAAGAGCCGGUCCUGUGGGACACCGAACCCCCGAAGCCGGAGACACCCCCCCCCCCCCCCCAAAAACGAGGCGUCGGGCAGGGAGGGCUCCGCAUGGCUCUGCUGCCCCCGGACGCGGCGCAGCCGGGGAUCCCUCCCCAAGGGCUGCAACAAGGAAGAGGAGAAAAUUGAAGCCGUACUUUAAAUGCGGUCAAAAAGCAAAAGGAAUCGGCCAUUCCCUGAGGAAUGGGGAGGGCGGGAUGGGCACCGAGAGCCGAGGGCGGCACGGGCGCUCCCGUUGCCCGCAGAGCGGGAGGGAACACGGGGCAGCCACCGGCGGGGAUGGCAGCGACCGGGAGCAGCCAUGGCCGGCAGCACCGCGGCGGCCGGAGCCGCAGGGGGAAGGGCCCGGGCGCUGA